rnacentral:rRNA from 1 species
GACGAACGCUGGCGGCGUGCCUAAUACAUGCAAGUAGAACGCUGAAGAGAGGAGCUUGCUCUUCUUGGAUGAGUUGCGAACGGGUGAGUAACGCGUAGGUAACCUGCCUUGUAGCGGGGGAUAACUAUUGGAACCGAUAGCUAAUACCGCAUAACAAUGGAUGACACAUGUCAUUUAUUUGAAAGGGGCAAUUGCUCCACUACAAGAUGGACCUGCGUUGUAUUAGCUAGUAGGUGAGGUAAUGGCUCACCUAGGCGACGAUACAUAGCCGACCUGAGAGGGUGAUCGGCCACACUGGGACUGAGACACGGCCCAGACUCCUACGGGAGGCAGCAGUAGGGAAUCUUCGGCAAUGGGGGCAACCCUGACCGAGCAACGCCGCGUGAGUGAAGAAGGUUUUCGGAUCGUAAAGCUCUGUUGUAAGUCAAGAACGGGUGUGAGAGUGGAAAGUUCACACUGUGACGGUAGCUUACCAGAAAGGGACGGCUAACUACGUG